rnacentral:misc_RNA from 1 species
UAUAAUCACAGCAUGUUAAUACAAUUAUAUAUACCGGGUGUCUCAUCCUUUAAAUAGAAUUGUUUAAUUAAUGUAAUAUCUUGCUUAUACAAUUAAUCUAAAUCUUACUUGACGUAGUAUUAUUUCGCAUAAAACAAAAAUCGACCAUUCCCGAUGUUGCUUUGAGCAUCACUGAAAAAUUGCAUCGUGUUGUAUCGCUACGUCUCCCCCCUCCCCCGUACCUCUUUCAAUAAGAUUUUAAUUGUUCAUGUUGUUGUCAUUUGUCGAGAUAAUACGAGUGUCCGACACUAGGUGCCGUCCAAGGUUACAGGACUUUCCUUUGUUGUUAAUAUUUGAAUACGAGUGUGUAACCUGAUAUAUUUUAAUUAUUGUUAAAUCUAUAAAUUAUCUCGAGGAUAAAUAAUUGAAAUAAUAUGAUCAUUAAAGUCAUUCAAUUUGUUUUAUUUUGCUUUAAGACUUCAGAACAUACGUCUCCCGUACCACAGUCUUUACUAUCGUGAUGAGAGAAACUCUCACGCCUAUUGCGCAUGCGCCAAGAGCGAAAUUUAAAUUCUACGAAAAUAAUUGUAGGUUAUAUAUAAAGUACAAUACAAUAUCAAAUAUAUUAUUUUUUUAAAUAAUAUAUAUUAAAUAUUAAUAUUAUUAAAUUAAAAAUUAUCUACUUUGGGACGAGGACGUAAUAAAUAUGUCAUUAUCAUUGAAAAAUACUGGUACACUUAUAAACACAACUUUUAAAAUACUAGAUAUUCGUAUAUCUAUAUUUAUAUAUUAAAGAUAGGGCUAGAAACUACGGAGACAGCCGAAAUAAAACGGAAAUAUCCGAAUAGAGGUUUUUUUUGUGCCUGACUUUACUUACGCGAUGAGAGAAACUCUCACAGUCGAUAAAUAAAUAAUUUUUUUUCUGUAUUUUUCAAGUUUAAACGAAAAUGUUUUUUUCACCAUCUUGUAAAACAUGAAAUCUUAGGAAGUCCACAGUAUUCGAUGUUACCAAUGCACCAGCACGGACAACACACAUCCUUUUCAAUGCAACGAAUUUCUCACAAGUGACAUUGACAUAGAACCAGAGUCUUGCGACGACAUUUUCGGAGCACAGUACUGUGUGAAACACAUUGGCCGAUUCGAGGGUAAAAUAAACCAAACGACGACAAAUCUUUUCAAUUUUCAAAUAUUAGUGCCUAAUGGGGGUAUUAAUAUACGGCAUAGCAUGCUAUACUACUGGUGGAAGCCCUGGAAUGUUACCAAUGUACAUCCGCGGACAAAUGGCAAUGCUCCAAUGGUGAAUUAAUUACAAAUUCUCUACAACCGAUAAACUGCAGUCACGUUUAUGAAGCGCAUUAUUGCGUCAAGACUGUUGGACGAUAUGGAGGUCUUUAUUCGUGGUUUAUUUCGUUAAAUUAUUCGAUGUUGUAUGUGCAUGAUCGUUCGUUUAUUCGUUUAUAAAUUAAGCAUACUAUGUGUAUAUUGAUAUUUUAGCUAUAAUUUCUGUUUUAUUCAAGAAUUAAGUUUAAUAUACAGGAUGUUCUGUAACUAGUGUGGUACAAGCGAGCAAAGGGUGAUUCGACGUGAAAAACUAAUAAAUCGAAAAUGUAGAUUACAAAUUUUUUAUCUAACAAUAAGACUUUGUUUUUGAGAAAACUAGAUUUAAUUAAAAUUGGUCAAGUUUUGCCUCGAUAGAUUUUACUAUCUUACUCUCGUAUAUUUGUGUAGCAUUUUUAUAAACAUUGUCAAUAUAAUGGUACAUUUAUCAAAUGAUGCUUUUAUUGUAGUUUCCAGGGUUGCACGUGUACUCGAACUUAUUUUUCUCGAAAAAGUAUAUACAAUUGCCCUCCUACAACACGGCACCUAUAACACGGUUUCCUUUCAAAACAACCUUUAUACAACACUGUACUUUUACAGCCGCGGCGAAGCUUACCGUCUUAAAGAUACAGUGUUGCGAAAAGUAUUUCAUCUCCAUGGCCUGAAAACAAAAGUCUAAUACAACAUGGUUUCAAAUAACACGGCAUUUUCUAGGAACCUAUCUACCGUGUUAUAGGAGGGUUACUGGUAACACAUAACCAUCUACGAACAAAUUUUAUUCUACAUUUUCAACUUAAUUUUUCAUAUAGAAUCACUUUCUUUUUCACUUGUAUCACUAGUUACAGAACAUCCUAUAUAUGUAAUGAUUGAUAUACAGGGUGUCUCAAAACUCGCUUUACCGAAUAGAAAAAAUUAGAAAUAUAUUUAAUUGUGUGUGUGUAUGUAAUCAUAUUCUUUCAUCUAUAUGCAUGAUUAGCAAAGAUUUGAAAGUAUAUAUGAAAAUAAUACUAACUUAUUAUUUAUGUUUAUAAAUGUAUAUAGGAUAUAUUUCCAUAAUCGAUCAAAUUCUCAUUUAAUCGUAAUUCAACCACUACUUUUCAUAAUACUUAAUAUAAGUAGUUAUUAUAUUAAAAAAAAAAAAAAAAAA